AGGCUGGAGAGGAACGCUGUGCCAGACUCCACUUUGUGAGCAAAAAUGUCUGUUUGGAAGCAGGUGCAUAAGACCAAAUGUCUGUGCUUGCAGAAGUGGCUAUACUGGCUCAGCAUGUGGAAAAAAGCUCCCAAUAGGAUGAAGAUAACAUAACAGCAGGACAAUGAAGACAAUCAUUUGGGUAUUGGUAAUCUGGCACUGUGCACAUUUUCGGGAAGAUGUAGUGUGAAGAAAUUGUCAAUCUUCUCCUUCCUACCCUCAUAUAAUC